rnacentral:rRNA from 1 species
UACGUAGGGUGCGAGCGUUGUCCGGAAUUAUUGGGCGUAAAGGGCUCGUAGGCGGUUUGUCGCGUCGGGAGUGAAAACUCAGGGCUUAACCCUGAGCCUGCUUCCGAUACGGGCAGACUAGAGGUAUGCAGGGGAGAACGGAAUUCCUGGUGUAGCGGUGAAAUGCGUAGAUAUCGAGAGGAACACCAGUGGCGAAGGCGAGUCUCUAGACAACUCCUGACACUGAGGCACGAAAGCUAGGGGAGCAAACAGG